AGUGAACGCUGGCGGUAGGCCUAACACAUGCAAGCCGAACGGCAGCACAGUAAGAGCUUGCUCUUACGGGUGGCGAGUGGCGGACGGGUGAGGAAUACAUCGGAAUCUACUUUUUCGUGGGGGAUAACGUAGGGAAACUUACGCUAAUACCGCAUACGACCUACGGGUGAAAGCAGGGGAUCUUCGGACCUUGCGCGAUUGAAUGAGCCGAUGUCGGAUUAGCUAGUUGGCGGGGUAAAGGCCCACCAAGGCGACGAUCCGUAGCUGGUCUGAGAGGAUGAUCAGACACACUGGAACUGAGACACGGUCCAGACUCCUACGGGAGGCAGCAGUGGGGAAUAUUGGACAAUGGGCGCAAGCCUGAUCCAGCCAUACCGCGUGGGUGAAGAAGGCCUUCGGGUUGUAAAGCCCUUUUGUUGGGAAAGAAAAGCAGCAGGUUAAUACCCCGCUGUUCUGACGGUACCCAAAGAAUAAGCACCGGCUAACUUCGUG
rnacentral:rRNA from 1 species